GCGACCGGACUGAGUGCGCGAGCGGACAUGACGUGUGGCUGUCGUAAAAACCCUAUUUGUAAACAACCAGUCCUUUAACUCGGGGCUGCGUCAUAAACACGGAGCGCUUGGAAGACCACGAUGUCAUCUUCCUUCUGUCAGGAGGAUCAAAGUGAAGCUACAGGAGUUUCAUUAACGUCAACAACUUGGACCGAACACUUUGUUUUGCUUGAUGAAGAGCAGGAAGGGCAGCCUGGAGAGAAAGAGAAGCCGGGUUGAGCCCACUACCAUCAUCCACGUACCAGGAGGAAGAUGAGGGAGAGAAAUGAUCCCAGCAUUAAAGAGACUGUGAAAAGAACGUUGAGAACAUCACCACUCUACAGGAAGACACAGUCCAGUAAUGGGUGUCAGAAGUUCAGUAGUGAACGACAGGUACUGUGGAAAAAUGUGUGUCAUUGUUGUACAAUGUCCUUUGACUCUGUUUAAACAAGGUCAACACAAAAAGGUUUGAUUGUAAACUGAUAUCGGUACGAAUUCAUGUUAUUCUCCUCUUCAAAAGAAACAAACAAUCAAAAUUACCUGCAGAAAGCCCUUGAUGGACGCUUCAGCUGCAUCGUCAGACUGGUGAGACAGCAAGAUGCCAACUUUAAUGCCAAUUUAUUUGUGUAACAUUCUGUGACCAAAUGUAUAGAUAACUUUUUGUAGAUUGUAAAAAUAGAUAACCCAUUUAUUACAAAAAAACUACACUAGAAUUACCGCACUGCGUUGUAUGACUCCGCUAAGCAGUGCAGUGUCCGUCUACAUAUUUUCUCUCAUAUAAAUGACACUGUAUCUCUUGACAACUGAAACCAUAAGAUGAGGUCAGUGUGGCCUUGACCUUUUUACUUUAAGACAAAUACAAAGUUAGACAAUCCGAAAACAUGCAGUUAUGCCUCCGGCGACUCGCUAUUGCAGAGGCAUUAAAACCGUAGUGUAGUAGACUGGAUUUUAUUGGUUUUACAUUGGACAUCUUGUAUGGGUACACCAAAACAUAUAUUUGGUUUCACAUUCUAGAUGGCAAUAAGCAGAGUCAUCAACUCAGGAAAAAUAUUUCUGUAGAAAAGAAAGCCUUGUAUGUGUGUAUGUAUACAUACACACAAACGCACAAUUGAGAUGUUUUUGUCUUUUAUCAUAUAUUCUCAGGCAGUACUGAUGCAUUUACUGAGAGGGGACGUGAGGGCCUACUCUGCGUGCUCAGAGUUCAAGCCCAGCAGGCUGCAGCAGGCCUGACAUAUUGUGGAACAGCAGCACAGUCUUUGGAUGACUCCUCUGAGGAUGAAAACAUGGCGAGUUCUUCUCAAGAGAAGGAGUACAGGUGUGCCUCAGCUCCACGCUCCCUCCUGCAGCCUCCGCUCCUGAUGCUAACCUCAUGUCUCCAUCACACCAAGCAGCAGACCUGGAUUGACAGACCUUUCUCCAGAGCUGCCCCCUCCUCUGAAACCCCCCUCUCCAAAACACUAUUUGUGUAGUUUUUUAAGUCUUGUUUGCAUGAGAAUUGUUGAUCAUAUCAUUUCCAGCAGAUGCCUUAAUAUAAUGUUUGUGCACAAUAAAUGACAUUGAUCAUAACAUAA